UAGCAAGCCUCCAGCAUGCUUGGGUCUGUGGUGACCCUAUGCAUUCCUUCAGUGCUUGCUAGAACAGUUUUGAAACGGUUUGAGACCUUGCCCUUCUAUCCAGAGCAAGGUUAUAAAAAUUUCAGACAAUG
rnacentral:snoRNA from 8 species